UCCUUCUCCUGAUCGUACCUGGAGAGUUUUCAGUCCUCUACCAGUCUCGGCUAAGGGAGGGGAGAAUCAAGCAGGGGCAUAUCCAUUCCAUUCCUAGCUUGGGCAGUGGCUAGUGAGUGGAAGGCAAUCUGCUACAAGU